rnacentral:lncRNA from 1 species
CUCUAAUCAUUAGUGUUUCCAUCUCUUUAUGGUAAUUUUCCACACUCCUGGGGCCUUGAUAUAAAUUUUGUAAUCUUUGAUGAAGCUUUCGGCAGUAGUGAGUAGGUACAAACCUCUUCCACAUCAUAUUUUUCAAUUCCUCCCAUGUAUUGAUAGGUCGCUCUCUACUUCUCCGCCUCAAAGUCACCACUUGAUCCCACAAAGUGAUUGCAUAAGUCGUGAAUUCAAGAACUGCAAUUUUCACCUUCUUCUCUCCCGGGUAAUUGUGGCAAUCAAAGAUUAACUCAAUUUUCUUCUCCCAGUCCAAGUAGGCCUCCAUAUCACUCCUACCUUUGAAUAAAGGAAUGGUCAUUUUAAUAUUACUCAAAUUCUCAUCCACCUCGUCUCUAUCGAGAUUCCUACCUCUCCUUUCUUGCCCAACUCCUCUAUUUCUACCCCUUCCAAUAUCCGCAUUCACAAUCGCAUCUUCAUCCAUCCCACUAUCAACCUCAAAUUCACUAAACUCCUCCAUCCUAGGUUUCCAUCUACCCUGUUUCCGUGCAUUAAGACCUCCCCUUCGUGUAUUGGCAGGCAAUGGAUUAUGCCUUUUCCCUUGUGCAUCCUGCCUAUCCAUCUGAUCCCUCAUAUCUACACAUAUCCGCUCAAUCCUUUGCACCGAGUCCUCUAGCAUGGAAACCCGAUCAUCAAUUCUACCUAAACUCGAUCCUUCCCUGUCAAACAUCUUAAAUCUAAGUUAUUUUUUCUGCCUCACAAUUAUUCACUUGAAAUUUCACUCAAUAUGGCUUUUUCCCUCGAUUGUUCUCACCACUGCCUUUUACCACUCGCUGCUUUCACCAAGUCCCCAAAAGAACAAU